rnacentral:rRNA from 1 species
CAGCACCCGCGCUAAUACCAGCCCCACGAGUGGUCGGGACGGUUAUUGGGCCUAAAGCGCCGUAGCCGGCCCAGCAAGUUCCUGCCUAAAUCACCGGGCUCAACCCGGUGAAUGGUGGGAAUACUGCUGGGCUAGGAGGCGGGAGAGGCCGGGGGUACUCCUAGGGUAGGGGCGAAAUCCUAUAAUCCCAGGAGGACCACCAGUGGCGAAGGCGCCCGGCUGGAACGCGCUCGACGGUGAGGGGCGAAAGCUGGGGGAGCAAACCGGAUUAGAUACCCGGGUAGUCCCAGCUGUAAACGAUGCGGACUAGGUGUUGGACGGACCUAGAGUCCGUCCAGUGCCGCAGGGAAGCCGUUAAGUCCCGCCGCCUGGG